CUGCGCCUGUGGGAAGACCCUUUCUGGCCUGGAACCUGCCAUGGGACUCAGGCUCCUCUGUGGUGUGGCCUUUUGUUUCCUGGGAGUAGGUCUCAUGGAUGCCAAAGUAACCCAAACUGCAAGACAUCUGGUCAAGAGAAGGGGAGAGAAAGUUGUGUUGGAAUGUUCCCAGGAUAUGGGGCACGACAGAAUGUUCUGGUAUCGACAAGACCCAGGUCUGGGGCUGCGGCUGCUCCAUUAUUCAUACAGGGUUGACAAUACUGAGAAAGGAGAUUUCCCUGAUGGGUACAGUGUCUCCAGGAAGCAGAAGGAGAGCUUCUCCCUGAUCCUGGAGUCGGCCACGCCCUCCCAGACAUCUGUGUACUUCUGCGCCAGCAGUGAACCCACACUCCCCUAUGACUAUACCUUCGGGCCAGGGACCAGGCUGACGGUCGUAGAGAACCUGAAAAAGGUGAAGCCACCCCGGGUCACCGUGUUUGAACCAUCGGAAGCAGAGAUCGCCCGCACCCAGAAGGCCACGCUCGUGUGCCUGGCCACGGGCUUCUACCCCAACCACGUGGAGCUGAGCUGGUGGGUGAAUGGCAAGGAGGUCCAGAGUGGGGUCAGCACCGACCCCCAGCCCUACAAGGAGCACUCCGACCUCAAUGACUCCAGCUACUGCCUGAGCAGCCGGCUGAGGGUCUCGGCCCCCUUCUGGAGCAACCCCCGCAACUACUUCAGCUGCCAAGUCCAGUUCUACGGGCUGGGAGAGGACGACGCUUGGGAGGAGAAGGACGGUCCCAAGCCCACCACCCAGAACAUCAGCGCUGGGGCCUGGGGCAGAGCAGAUUGUGGUGUCACCUCAGCGUCCUAUAAGCAAGGGGUCCUGUCUGCCACCCUCGUGUAUGAGAUCCUGCUGGGGAAGGCCACUGUGUAUGCAGUGCUGGUCAGCGCCCUGGUGCUGAUGGCCAUGGUCAACAGAAAGGAUUCCUGAUGCCAGCUCAGAGGCAGAGCCACGAACUUCCAGCCUGCUACCACCCCAGUGUGGAUUCCCCUUUUCCCAUUCCCAGCCAGUGCUUCUGAAGAGCCGUUCUCGUCUCUCAGCUCAUCCCCACGUACCUGCACAGCGGGGUGCUCGUGACUGCAAUCUCCCUGACCCCAGGGGCGCCCCGGUGGGCCUGAAUGGCCUGAACCAAUAAAAAUGGCCUGUUCUCGCUUGA